rnacentral:pre_miRNA from 14 species
UGGGUGUGUGUGUGUGUGUGUGUGUGUGUGUGUGUUAAUCCAUCGGAGGAAGGUCGGGGCCCUCGGGGGUUUUUCCUUCUUCCUCAUUGUAGAUUAACUGAGAAGUUUUCCUCUCAGUCAGCACACACACACACACACACACACACACACACACA